AAGGUUUCCGUAGGUGAACCUGCGGAAGGAUCAUUGUCGAUGCCUUACAUGCAGUCCAACACGUGAAUCAGUUUGAACACAUACGGUGGGAUUGAGGUGUUCCACACCUCGGCCCACCUCUGGUUCGGAGGCGGACGACGAAGUGCGUUCUCCUCCGUGCCAAAACACAAACCCCGGCGCUGAAUGCGUCAAGGAAUUAAAAUUUUGCUCUGAGCGCACUUGCAUGGCACCGGAGACGGUUUUCGUGCGGGUUGUGUUUUGACACUUGAUAUAGAAUGACUCUCGGCAACGGAUAUCUAGGCUCUUGCAUCGAUGAAGAACGUAGCGAAAUGCGAUACUUGGUGUGAAUUGCAGAAUCCCGUGAACCAUCGAGUCUUUGAACGCAAGUUGCGCCCGAUGCCAUUAGGUUGAGGGCACGUCUGCCUGGGUGUCACAUAUCGAAGCCUCCUGCCAAUUUCCCUUUGACUAUUGUGCAGGGUGGAUGUUGGCCUCCCGUGAGCUCUUUCGUCUCAUGGUUGGUUGAAAAUUGAGACCUUGGUAGGGUGUGCCAUGAUAGAUGGUGGUUGUGUGACCCACGAGACCAAUCAUGCGCUUCUCUAUCGAAUUUGGCCUCUUUUACCCAUAUGCGUUUCUAAACGCUCGUGAUGAGACCUCAGGUCAGGCGGGGCUACCCGCUGAAUUUAAGCAUAUCAAUAAGCGGAGGAAAAGAAACUAACAAGGAUUCC
rnacentral:rRNA from 5 species